CUGACAAAUGAGAUCCGCGCAACACUGGUUGACCACGUUGUCAACCACGGCCUGACGCUGAGGGAGGCUGGACUGCGAGUACAGCCAAAUCUAAGCCGAUACACAGUGGCAAGUGUGAUAAGAACAUUUCGACUGGAAAAUAGGAUUGAGGGUCAGGAACGACGAGGGGGAAGGCCUCCUAUGUUCACAGAACAGCAAGAGAGGGAGAUAGUAAACAUGGUUUUGGCCAACAAUGCUAUAACCCUUAAUCAGCUCCAAGCUAACAUUGUCAAUAACCACGUCGGUUUCAACAAUAUCCAUCAGGUCUCAACAUCAACACUGGCACGCAUCCUAA